CCUACGGGAGGCAGCAGUGGGGAAUAUUGGGCAAUGGGCGCAAGCCUGACCCAGCAACGCCGCGUGAAGGAAGAAGGCUUUCGGGUUGUAAACUUCUUUUCUCAGGGACGAAGAAAGUGACGGUACCUGAGGAAUAAGCCACGGCUAACUACGUGCCAGCAGCCGCGGGAAUACGUAGGUGGCAAGCGUUAUCCGGAUUGAUUGGGUGUACAGGGCGUGUAGGCGGGAGCGCAAGUCAGAUGUGAAAACUCAGGGCUCAACCCUGAGCCUGCAUUUGAAACUGUGUUUCUUGAGUGCUGGAGAGGCAAUCGGAAUUCCGUGUGUAGCGGUGAAAUGCAUAGAUAUACGGAGGAACACCAGUGGCGAAGGCGGAUUGCUGGACAGUAACUGACGCUGAGGCGCGAAAGCGUGGGGAGCAAACAGGAUUAGAUACCCUUGUAGUC
rnacentral:rRNA from 1 species